GAUGAACGCUGGCGGCGUGCCUAAUACAUGCAAGUAGAACGCUGAAGGAGGAGCUUGCUCUUCUGGAUGAGUUGCGAACGGGUGAGUAACGCGUAGGUAACCUGCCUGGUAGCGGGGGAUAACUAUUGGAAACGAUAGCUAAUACCGCAUGACAACAGUUAUUGCAUGAUAACUGUUUAAAAGGGGCAACUGCUCCACUACCAGAUGGACCUGCGUUGUAUUAGCUAGUUGGUGAGGUAACGGCUCACCAAGGCGACGAUACAUAGCCGACCUGAGAGGGUGAUCGGCCACACUGGGACUGAGACACGGCCCAGACUCCUACGGGAGGCAGCAGUAAGGAAUCUUCGGCAAUGGACGGAAGUCUGACCGAGCAACGCCGCGUGAGUGAAGAAGGUUUUCGGAUCGUAAAGCUCUGUUGUAAGAGAAGAACGAGUGUGAGAGUGGAAAGUUCACACUGUGACGGUAUCUUACCAGAAAGGGACGGCUAACUACGUG
rnacentral:rRNA from 1 species